UACGGGGGGAGCAAGCGUUGUUCGGAUUUACUGGGCGUAAAGGGCGCGUAGGCGGUCGUGACAAGUCACUUGUGAAAUCUCCGGGCUUAACUCGGAACGGUCAAGUGAUACUGUCGGACUAGAGUACAGAAGGGGCAACUGGAAUUCUCGGUGUAGCGGUGAAAUGCGUAGAUAUCGAGAGGAACACCUGCGGCGAAGGCGGGUUGCUGGGCUGAUACUACGCUGGAGGCGCGAAAGCCAGGGGAGCGAAACGGG
rnacentral:rRNA from 1 species